UCAGGCCUAACACAUGCAAGUCGAGCGGGGUUUUCGGACCUAGCGGCGGACGGGCGAGUAAUGCGUAGGAAGCUACCCGAUAGAGGGGGAUACCAGUUGGAAACGACUGUUAAUACCGCAUAAUGUCUACGGACCAAAGUGUGGGACCUUCGGGCCACAUGCUAUCGGAUGCGCCUACGUGGGAUUAGCUAGUUGGUGAGGUAAUGGCUCACCAAGGCGACGAUCCCUAGCUGGUUUGAGAGGAUGAUCAGCCACACUGGAACUGAGACACGGUCCAGACUCCUACGGGAGGCAGCAGUGGGGAAUAUUGGACAAUGGGCGCAAGCCUGAUCC
rnacentral:rRNA from 1 species